rnacentral:misc_RNA from 1 species
GUACUCUCACACUCCCGAUUUGUUGGGAGCGGUGGACUUGGGUGCUGCUGCUUACCGUGGCUCACCUCAAAUGGAUUCGUGCAUCUCUUGGUUGGACACAGUACGGCGUGAUAAGUGUCUUCGCCGGCACCUCGCUUGAGAGGGUGGCCGAUCGGGAGCUCUGUGCUUCUAACCGUCCUCGGACAACAACUGACA